rnacentral:rRNA from 1 species
AACGAACGCUGGCGGCAGGCUUAACACAUGCAAGUCGAGCGCCCCGCAAGGGGAGCGGCAGACGGGUGAGUAACGCGUGGGAACGUACCCUUAUCUUCGGAAUAGCUCCGGGAAACUGGAAUUAAUACCGAAUGUGCCCUUUGGGGGAAAGAUUUAUCGGAUAAGGAUCGGCCCGCGUUGGAUUAGCUAGUUGGUGGGGUAAAGGCCUACCAAGGCGACGAUCCAUAGCUGGUCUGAGAGGAUGAUCAGCCACAUUGGGACUGAGACACGGCCCAAACUCCUACGGGAGGCAGCAGUGGGGAAUAUUGGACAAUGGGCGCAAGCCUGAUCCAGCCAUGCCGCGUGAGUGAUGAAGGCCUUAGGGUUGUAAAGCUCUUUCACCGGAGAAGAUAAUGACGGUAUCCGGAGAAGAAGCCCCGGCUAACUUCGUGCCAGCAGCCGCGGUAACAC